rnacentral:rRNA from 1 species
GGACUACUGGGGUUUCUAAUCCCGUUCGCUCCCCUAGCUUUCGCGUUUCAGCGUCAGGUGCAGUCCAGGUGGCCGCUUUCGCCACUGGUGUUCCUCCGGAUCUCUACGCAUUUCACCACUACACCCGGAAUUCCACCACCCUCUACUGCCCUCCAGUUCAGCAGUAUCGGACAACCUCCCCCGGUUGAGCCGAAGGAUUUCAUGCCCGACUUGCCAAACCGCCUGAACGCGCUUUACGCCCAGUAAAUCCGGAUAACGCUCGGUACCUACGUUUUACCGCGGCUGCUGGCAC